GUGUAACGUAUACGUUCUAUAGAAGCAGCUCAAGCGGAACCCCGGAAAACGCUGGCUGUUGGCCAAUUUUAUGUCCAAAGAGUGUUUAUUCACCAUCAGCGAAGAGGAUGGGAUGCAUCGUCCCUGAAGUUGGUGGAAGAAGGAACAUCAGAAGCGGAGUUAUCACAGAGGGUCCUCAAUCAAUCGCACUAAAAGUCGGAGGGAAUUACGGAUAUACUUUACCCGCUUUACACGCGACAAGGCGGAGGAACUGGCACGCUGUGUGGCAAUAAAAUUUUACAGGAUGGAAUCCGCGCCGCCCUUACAUGAGGAAUUGUGGACAAUGAUACAAUUAAUCGAGAUGGUGGAAAGAUUUUUAAAUAGGAGGGAAAGGGCAAUCAGUGGAAAUAAAAUGUUAAGCCUUCCUCGCUGACAUCGUAUUUAACAUCCUCAUUGAUAUGAUUACAAGACCAAUAUUUGAAAAGGACGCAACAACAGCCAAAAUUUAUUCUUGUAUUGUUAUUCAGUUAUUGUUACUUGUUCAGUUAUUUGUCUAUGUAUAGCAUUUAUGUAGGUAGAAGAGAAAUAGGAAACAAAAUGUUUUGGCUAUUAACGCGAAUUAUGAGACGAGCCAUUUUUAUAACUACCUCGAACAGGACGAUUUAGUUGAUGAAGAAUUGAAGGUAUUAGAUUGGACGGAAAAUGUUGUUUGCUCAGGUUUUACGUACUAAUGACUGUCAGAACGUUUGCCUUAAUUAUCGAUAUCAACUUUGUAUGUAUAAUUUCAAAAUCAUUGAUAAUGUAUUAUUUACCUUCUUUACUUGACCAAAGCAUUGGAAAAAAACAUAUAAGGCCAUAUGAAGUUAGAACGAUAAAAAUGCUUUAGUAUUUUUAUAAGCUACACAUUUACUAUUUCGAAACGCUUUAUUUAUAUUCUAUGCUUUGAGUCGUUCUUAAUAGUUGUAUCUAUCUUCUAUCUUCUAUGUAUUUAAAACAAAGUUGGCAUUUGUACGACCGUGCAUCACUCAAUAAUAGACAGCCCAAUUUUUGCUAAUUUA